UAAGGAAGGCAAAACAAAAGAGGUCAAGGAAUCUCUACGUUGCUUCUUCUAUUCUAUUAUUUUGACGGACAGAGGCACAGCUUCUUCUCUCUUCCUCUUUCUUCUUCUUCUUCUCCUCCCUUUCUCGACUUUGUACGAAUAAUAAUAGCAAAUUCGCAUCAUCAUCAUCAAUCUCCGAUCAUCUUCCUUCUUUCUUCUCCCCGAAUCUGCGUUUCUUUCAGAUGAAAUCUAUUGAAACCCCGAUCCCAGUCAAUCUCUUCUUCAGGGAUUAUUACGAAGAAAUCGCACCAAGCUGAUGUAGAUGAAUCUCAUAGUCCCAAGUUUGAUAUGGAUUCGAUUCAGUAAAACUAACCAUCCUAGAUCGGAAAUGAAUGGAAUAGGCUGCUGCAAAUAGCAAUGGUUGGGUCUAGUUAUAUCUCUUGGGAGGUAAACUCAGGAACAUUUACAUGGUCAAAUCAUUGUCACAGGUUACACUCUCUAAAACAAAUACUUGUGCUUACAACCAAAAUCCUACGCUCCAAUCCCUAACAAUUUAAUCCUUCAUACAUUUUACUGACAACAAAUUUAGAGGAAGAAGACUCCCUUCCAUCUUCUUCUAACGAAGCAACCUCUUCAGCAUUUCUUUGUCUGCUGACUGAGCGAGCACAAAUGUUUCUUCUUAACUCCUGAUGACCACCAUAUCCUGAGUAAAACAGCCAGACAGCUUUUCUCUCAUCCAUGUUGCAUUGGAUGAUCAUGCGAAUAUGGUGGGUCUCCAUCUGAUCAUUUACAAGCAGUAUACCAGAUCAAAUCAAUUAUAUGGAACUAAGAAGAAGAAGAUGCAUACAAUCAAGGUUUGAGAACAAGACCCAUAUAAAACCUUUUCAUGUAUUUACAUGUCACAAAACUAUUAAAGCUUGUGUGUGAUAUUAUUAACCAACCCUCUUAUUAUUAUUUCUAGAAUUAAAGUUGUAGUGAUUCUUGAUAUUAUUAUCAUCAGGCCACAAAAAUUUAAUGGUGAAUAGACUAUUAUUCUGAGGUUGCAAA